rnacentral:rRNA from 1 species
UGCGUAGGCGGUUUCGUGUGUCGGAUGUGAAAGCCCACGGCUCAACCGUGGAACUGCAUUCGAAACUACGAAACUAGAGUGCAGGAAGGGAGAGCGGAAUUCCUGGUGUAGCGGUGAAAUGCGUUGAUAUCAGGAGGAACACCGGUGGCGAAGGCGGCUCUCUGGAAUGUUACUGACGCUGAGGCACGAAAGCGUGGGGAGCAAACA